rfam:Triticum urartu cultivar G1812 contig361660, whole genome shotgun sequence.
UAAAUACUUCCUCUGUCUGGAAUUACUUGUCGCAAGAAUGGAUGUAUCUAGAUGUAUUUUAGUUCUAAAUACAUUCAUUUCUAUCCGUUUUCACGACAAGUAAUUUCAGACGGAGGGAGUAUGUU